CGUUCCUGCUGGGCCGUGGGCGCGGGGGCCUCGGGUUCCUCCAGCGGAUCCCCGGCGAGGACCGCCGAGACCCGUUUGACCAGGUCGGCGACGA
rnacentral:tRNA from 1 species